GACGAACGCUGGCGGCGUGCUUAACACAUGCAAGUCGAACGGUAAGGCCCUUCGGGGUACACGAGUGGCGAACGGGUGAGUAACACGUGGGUGAUCUGCCCUGCACUUCGGGAUAGGCCUGGGAAACUGGGUCUAAUACCGGAUAGGACCACUGCCUGCAUGGGCGGUGGUGGAACGCCUUUGUGGGGUGGGAUGGGCCCGCGGCCUAUCAGCUUGUUGGUGGGGUGAUGGGCUACCAAGGCGACGACGGGUAGCCGGCCUGAGAGGGUGACCGGCCACACUGGGACUGAGAUACAGCCCAGACUCCUACGGGAGGCAGCAGUGGGGAAUAUUGCACAAUGGGCGCAAGCCUGAUGCAGCGACGCCGCGUGAGGGAUGACGGCCUUCGGGUUGUAAACCUCUUUCAGCACCGACGAAGCGCAAGUGACGGUAGGUGCAGAAGAAGGACCGGCCAACUACGUGCCAGCCGCCGCCGUAA
rnacentral:rRNA from 1 species